rnacentral:rRNA from 1 species
CCUACGGGAGGCAGCAGUGGGGAAUUUUGGACAAUGGGCGCAAGCCUGAUCCAGCAAUGCCGCGUGCAGGAUGAAGGCCUUCGGGUUGUAAACUGCUUUUGUACGGAACGAAACGGCGAACUCUAAUAAAGUUCGCUAAUGACGGUACCGUAAGAAUAAGCACCGGCUAACUACGUGCCAGCAGCCGCGGUAAUACGUAGGGUGCAAGCGUUAAUCGGAAUUACUGGGCGUAAAGCGUGCGCAGGCGGUGAUGUAAGACAGAUGUGAAAUCCCCGGGCUCAACCUGGGACCUGCAUUUGUGACUGCAUCGCUAGAGUACGGUAGAGGGGGAUGGAAUUCCGCGUGUAGCAGUGAAAUGCGUAGAUAUGCGGAGGAACACCGAUGGCGAAGGCAAUCCCCUGGACCUGUACUGACGCUCAUGCACGAAAGCGUGGGGAGCAAACAGGAUUAGAUACCCUGGUAGUCCACGCCCUAAACGAUGUCAGCUGGUUGUUGGGUCUUCACUGACUCAGUAACGAAGCUAACGCGUGAAGUUGACCGCCUGGGGAGUACGGCCGCAAGGUUGAAACGUUAAAUGAAUUGACGGCUGGAGACGUUAGCGACGGACGACGACGAGGGAGGAGG